UUCCCAGGAUUCCCCAGCUGCUGACCUGCCUGAUUCGUAACGAAGGAAAGACGAUCCUGAACCUGCUGAGCCAGGUGGGCAGGGUCUACCCUCAGGCUGUGUACUUCCCCAUCCGGACCAUGUACCUCACCCUGAAGAUCGAACAACGGGAACGCUAUAAAAGUGGUGAGGUGGGAGCGGGUGUCCCUCGCACAGCCAGUCCCAGUGUGUCUGGGAAAGCCUCACAUCAUGGUCCAACUGCAUCAUCAUCCCUGCCUCCUACUACACAACUGGGGGCGUCACUAGCUACUUCCAGCCAGGGG